rnacentral:rRNA from 1 species
CGGUAGGUGGCAAGCGUUGUCCGGAAUUAUUGGGCGUAAAGCGCGCGCAGGCGGCUUCUUAAGUCCAUCUUAAAAAGUGCGGGGCUUAACCCCGUGAUGGGAUGGAAACUGAGAGGCUGGAGUAUCGGAGAGGAAAGUGGAAUUCCUAGUGUAGCGGUGAAAUGCGUAGAGAUUAGGAAGAACACCGGUGGCGAAGGCGACUUUCUGGACGACAACUGACGCUGAGGCGCGAAAGCGUGGGGAGCAA